GCCGCUUGAAAUCCGCGUGUACCAGGACUGGUGCCGAGGGCGUCUGUGAGCGGACCGGCCAUCUCAGCAUAGUUUUUCAUAAAGCGCCGGUAACAGCCCGCAGUUGCCAGGAAACUACGCAAUUCUCGAACAGAUCGCGGCUCGGGAAUGCGCAAAAUGGCCGACACACGAUCCGGAUCCAUCUUCAGGCUCGGCCUUCUCCACCAACUGAAUUUUGCCCCUUCUGUGAGCGUGAUUCGCCU